rnacentral:lncRNA from 1 species
AUUUUAUUUCCAAUAGUGGACCCAUUACGGGCAUAAUCAGUACAUUGAAUUUUUUUUUAUCACACAAUUGCAAUAGACAAUAAACAAAAAUAAAAAUAGAGAUACGUUUGACAAAAAACAUGAAAUAUAAAUUGAGUUAAUAAUACAUGUAUUCACAUAUCAAAACCUGUAUGUUUAGUGAUUAUUGACCAUGCACCAGAA